rnacentral:lncRNA from 1 species
AUCCUUUUCUGGUUGAGGCAUGGAAUAGGAUGAGAGUUGGGGUUUUGUGUGACAAAAUAAAAAAGGGUGCGGUUUGUGCAUGCGUGAGGUUCCUAGGUGUGUUUUUUCCUUGUUGCCUCAACCCAUCUCAAUGCCUCCCUUCCUCCUUUCUUCACCUCCAUGCCCCAUGAUCUGAUCAGAUCAGAUCUGAGAGAGAGAAGAGAAGGAGAAGAAGAGUCUUUUUCCUCUUCUUAGUGGUCUAGUUCAAAUCUCAUCAGAUCUGCAUGAAAGAGUUCGCUCAGUAUUCAUCUUCUUUGAGUUCUAGAAGAGAAUCCAGAUCCAAAACUGAGGAGCGAGGCAUGCAAGAUGCUAGUACAC